rnacentral:pre_miRNA from 1 species
AGACACCCUUAUGAGACAAGGCUUGCUUCAGUGGGGCUUUGGUGCUCACUGAGUCUGCCCCCUUAAUGUGUCUCU